rnacentral:rRNA from 1 species
ACCAGACUUGCCCCCCAAUGGAUCCUUGUUAAGGGAUUUAGAUUGUACUCAUUCCAAUUACCAGACUCGAUGAGCCCAGUAUUGUUAUUUAUUGUCACUACCUCCCCAUGUCAGGAUAUGGUAAUUUGCGCGCCUGCUGCCUUCCUUCGAUGUGGUAGCCAUUUCUCAGGCUCCCUCUCCGGAAUCGAACCCUAAUUCUCCGUCACCCGUCACCACCAUGGUAGGCCUCUAUCCUACCAUCGAAAGUUGAUAGGGUAGAAAUUUGAAUGAAGCAUCGCCAGCACAAGGGUUGUGCGAUCCGUCGAGUUAUCAUGAUUCACCGGAGAAGCGGGCAAGCCCGCACCGACCUUAUAUCUAAAAAAUGCAUCCCUUCCAAAGAGUUGGGACUUGGUGCAUGUAUUAGCUCUAGAAUUACUACGGUUAUCUGAGUAGUAUGGUACCAUCAAAAAACCUAUAACUGAUUUAAUGAGCCAUCCGCAGUUUCACAGUCUGAAUUAGUUCAUACUUAGAUAUGCAUGGCUUAAUCUCUGAGACAAGCAUAUGACUACUGGCAGGAUCAACCAG